GCGACACUAGAUCAGUUGGUAGAGCGCAACCUUGCCAAGUUUGAGGUCACGAGUUCGAACCUCGUGUGUCGCUCCA
rnacentral:tRNA from 1 species